CGAUUUCAAUUCUCGUGGCAAUAGGACGUGUUUGGCACGCUCCGCCUAAAUAUUUCCUUCAAGCCACCGGAAAGAACUACAGUAACGUUAACCGGUCUAGUUGGUUAGGGACACCAGCCUCUAAAUCCAAAAUAAAUCGCACGUAGCAGUGAAAACAGUGUCAUUGUGCAACACAGUACAAGUGUGCAGUCACAAAAAUCGCAGCGGCCUGGUUUUUCGCAAAGUGUUUGUGUGUUUACAUGUGUGUUAGUUUGGUAAAAAUAACCUUCGAAGUGUAGAAUCUUUGAGGAUCCCGUUUUUUUCUGCUAGUAACCGUGCAACCGUCUACACAGCGGAUUGGAAAGAAUUCCGAUUUCCCGGCUCUUCGCAUCUGCAACCAACGCCACCAACGACCGUAGCAUUUCGUUUGCUAAUUUCGCGCGUGCGUGUGUGUGUGUGUAUUUGUGUGUUGUUUACAUUGUGACGCGUAGUUAAGAAGAAAGUGCCGACGCUGCCGCGUGUAGGAUAAAGCGAAGAGAAAGAGAGGAAAACAAAAGCAUUCGUGUAACAAUAUCGUACGAUCCCCGCUGGCAGUUUUGUGCCACAUAAUCACUUUCCUUACGCACCGACGUGUCGAGUCCGGGACCGGGCGUUUAACAGCGUAGUGAAAAGAUACCCCCCAAAAAUCCUACACCAUAUCAGCAGUUGCGCGGACGCCAUUGCUAAAAACCUUUUUGGUCGUUGAUCGUCUGGUGGUCGCGCAGAUCUUGAGAACCGAGGUUUUAGAUUGCGGUCUCUCACAUUCGAAUGCCUUCGAGUCAGGGAUAUAGCAAAGUUGCAUCGGAACCUCCGAUCGAUCCAGUGGACGGGACAGUCAGUAUGCCUACGCAAGGAGGGAACGCAAGUGGCGGUGCGGCAACCGCCAUGAUGGGCACCGUGUCUGCCGGUGGUCCCGGUGGCAUUCAGUCAAAUCCGGCUGGGAAGAUUCCGGCCACGAACUCACAGCAGCGCCUCAUGCCCACGGAUUCCGAUUCGGUGACAUCUUCGAUGGACGAAGGCGAGCUGCGUGUCGCACGGGGGAAUCCACACGAUGAGGAUACGGAUACGGACACGACGACAACGGCCGGUCCGAUCGGUGCAAAUGCGUGGUUCACGGUAAUCGUGUUAUGUUUCGUCAACCUCAUCAACUACAUGGAUCGGUUCACGAUUGCGGGUGUGCUAACAGAGAUACAGGAUCACUUCAACAUCGGCGACGAUGAGGGUGGCCUCCUGCAGACCGCAUUCGUACUAUCCUACAUGGUCUUUGCACCCGUGUUCGGUUACCUGGGCGAUCGGUACUCCCGGAAAUGGAUAAUGGUACUGGGCGUUUCACUCUGGAGUACGACCACCCUGCUCGGGUCGUACAUGAACCAAUUUGGAUGGUUUAUCACCUUCCGGGCGCUAGUCGGUAUUGGAGAGGCAUCGUACAGCACGAUCGCACCUACGAUCAUCUCCGAUCUGUUCGUUGGCGAGAUGCGCUCCAGGAUGCUGGCCCUGUUUUACUUCGCCAUUCCGGUUGGAUCGGGCUGCGGGUACAUCGUUGGUGCGAAAAUGGCAAGCCUUAUGAACUCGUGGGUUUGGUCGCUGCGUGUGACGCCAGUGCUCGGUGCGAUUGCGGUGGCACUUAUCAUCAUGCUGCGGGAUCCACAGCGUGGUCAGAGCGAAGGUACCCAUCACAUGGAGGCCACCUCAUACAAGGCGGACAUCUUCGCGAUCAUGCGUAAUCCUUCGUUCAUGCUAUCGACCGCUGGCUUUACCUGUGUAGCGUUUGUGACUGGCGCACUGGCCUGGUGGGGACCGAAAUUCAUUCAUCUUGGCCUAAUAUCCCAACCCGGCAAUGAAAAUAUUACACUGAACGAUGUUUCUUCGCACUUUGGAAUCGUAGCGAUGCUGGCUGGUUUGAUCGGUGUACCACUCGGCACAUUGCUGUCGAAUCGUUUACGGUCCUACUACGAGUAUGCUGAUCCGGUGAUAUGUGCUGCCGGUUUAAUCACUAGCUCACCGUUCGUUUAUUGUGCACUCGUCGUGGUUAAAUACAGUGGAAGCUGGGCUUUUAUACUGGUGUUCUUCGCCGAGGUAGCACUCAACAUAUCGUGGCCAAUUGUGGCCGACAUGCUGCUGUACGUUGUUGUGCCAACGAGACGAUCGACCGCGGAAGCUUUCCAGAUUCUUAUCUCACAUGCAUUCGGUGACGCCGGCAGUCCGUAUUUCGUUGGUGUGAUAUCCGAGGCAAUCAAACGGGUAAUUCGUGUUGGUUCCGACGCAUUAUCAUCCAACACCUUUUUGCAGCUUGAACCGACACAAAAAAUCGCCGUUCUAUCACAGCUUGCGGAAAAUACCACCGUUGCACUGCUCCAGUCCGAGCCGGAUGAUGAUCCACCGCUGAUCAAGUUCCGUGCCCUGCAGUAUGCAUUGUUUUCCACCUGCUUCGUGGAGAUUCUCGGCGGAGUGUUCUUCCUGAUCACUGCGAUCUACAUCGAUCGGGAUAGAGCGCGCGUCCAAGCAGUUGUUCUAGGCUGUCAGCUAGAGCUAAGCGAAAGUUCCGCAUCCGACGGUAACGGUACGGACGAUGGACAACGAUCACCCAUCGGUCCCGGUACCAGCGGUACCAAUGCAUUCCCGGCCUCGACCGUGGCUGCUUUCUAACGGCGGCAAGAAACGAGUGAAGUUAUCUAAUUGGUGGUGUCCUUCGGUUCGUAACGUCCAUCUCGCUCUCCAUCCUUGCCCGGUGUUCCGCUCUUGUCCCGAUGUAACUUAUCUGUGAUCCACCUGCCUGUUUGUCCUGGUGUGUUCCGUCCCAACCAGUUGUAGAAAUAAACGUUACGAAUCGAAGACAUGUGGAAGGUGGUUCAAGGUAGAAUUGAAGAACAAUUGCUCAAACGCUUUGCACAUCAACUACGAACACUUUCCAGACCGAUAUUACAGCACCCGCUGGAUAAGAUUCACUCUUCGUACUUCAUCUGCUUUAGGUAACCAAUCAAACAAUACUUCAGCACAUCAAUUAGGAGGAUCCGUAUCGGACAUUGAAGACGCGUUACCAAGCAUACGGCAAUAAGGGCUCGAAAGACGAUCUAGAACUGUUGAAAACAAGAAAUUAUACAAUUUCUAACCCGUGAUAUAAUGAUUGGGGUUUUGAGUAAGGGUUGCAUUUCGACAACUGACGCCUACAGAGCAGCAGCUCAGGAUUGUCACCAUCAAAGAUACCUCGGUUCCUAGCGUCCGGUAGUAGUGCUCUGGGUUCGACGUAGUUUUAAAUAUGCCAAGGACAUGCAAAAGCAAAGCGAAAACAGAACUGAACUCCAAUUGUUUCCGAACGGACGAAGCUCCGACAGGAAUCGACUUGAUAAGUACGUCAAUACCAAUACAUACAUAUAGAUAUAUAUGAUAAGGUUAAAUCCACGCUGCAUGGAUGAGUGAUGAUUUCCCGGUCGUGUUCGGUAGUGCACCUUUCUCCAAGCUUUCUCACACGGACCCGUUAACUCACCAAUGACGUUUUGCAUCAUCACAUCACGAUCAGAUUAGAUUAAGUUGACUUAACUUGCUAUCCUUCUUCCGGAAUGUUUAGAUCGAAAGAUCAUUCGAGCGUGCAUUGAAUUAGUCGCGCUGUGCCCGGGAAAUUAGUGCUAAAUUAUGCCGAAGAAUGUAAAUAGCUCCACUCACGCAAAUGCGUCCUGUUCCCUCGUCCAUAUCUUCGUUAGCGUUUAGCAAGCUAGAAUAAUUAAAUCCAAUGAACGAAAUCGUCCUACAAAUGUACGCCGUUCGUUCGUGAUCAAACUUUUUGCUAACUAGUGCAAUUGUUCUUUAUUAUUUUCUCGAAGCAUGUAAUGAAAAAGGGUGUAUGAAUGUUACGAAUGAAUGGGAACCCGAUUAGGUAAAACAGUAUGAUACAAAAUUGAAAAUAGUAAACAGCAGGUGCGCAAUCGGUGGAAGUUAUGGGAUGGGGUAGGAUUAUACGAAAGCAAUAGUCUGUGAAAAUGAGAAUUUGGGGGCCAUUUAUUGCUGCAAAAGUUUUCUAACGCUGCUUGUUUAGGAUUAUAUACCGGAGAGUUAAAGGGAAGACGUCCGUUUCCGGCUGUUGGUAAUUAUUCAAAUGAAAAGUGUUCGGAAAAAAUAGGAAACACAUAAACGUUUUAAGCGUUUGAAACUCGACUGAAAAUGCAGAAUAAGGAAUAAUAUGUACGUGUGAUAAAGGUGCUAAAACAGCAAUGAUGCCGCACAAUUACACAAUUGGGAAAAUGGAAGAGCAGUGUUUUGUAGUGGCAGUGAAUAAGUGGCGCAAAUGUGCUACCCUACUUGUUACAAAAGACUGCCCUUUAUGGAAUGUUUCCAUUGCUUCAUCCAUUUUUACUUGCGCUUUCCUUGCGCUAGUGAGAAGAUUUGAUUAAUCUUUUCUUCGAUUUUUUUUGUUUGAAUAGAAUAUGGUUUUUUUUUUGUUUCUGCGUAAGCUAAGCAUAGGUAUAAUGUGUUAGAAUUUAUACAAAAUAACAAAACACUCAAUCACAUAGGACAGAAAUGAAACCUGUUUAAAACACGUAAAACCUAUCGUGCGGCAGCGAUAACUAUCGUUAAUUAGUGGGAAACGGUAAAAAGACUAAAGUACAGGCGAAUGGGCGAUAAACGUUGUAAAACCAUAGGAAAAAGGAAUAAUAACUACAUUAUUUAUUAUUAGAUUCUCGUUAGCUUUUUCUUGUUCACCAGAAGAAAGGAUAGUGUAUGGACGAUUGAAAAGGAAAGUGAAAAGACGAGAAUAAAAUCAUUCAACAGAAUGGAAAACGAAUGAAAUAAAAAUUCAAUGUAUACAUUA